rnacentral:rRNA from 1 species
CUUGCUUCUCUUGAGAGCGGCGGACGGGUGAGUAAUGCCUAGGAAUCUGCCUGGUAGUGGGGGAUAACGUCCGGAAACGGACGCUAAUACCGCAUACGUCCUACGGGAGAAAGCAGGGGACCUUCGGGCCUUGCGCUAUCAGAUGAGCCUAGGUCGGAUUAGCUAGUUGGUGGGGUAAUGGCUCACCAAGGCGACGAUCCGUAACUGGUCUGAGAGGAUGAUCAGUCACACUGGAACUGAGACACGGUCCAGACUCCUACGGGAGGCAGCAGUGGGGAAUAUUGGACAAUGGGCGAAAGCCUGAUCCAGCCAUGCCGCGUGUGUGAAGAAGGUCUUCGGAUUGUAAAGCACUUUAAGUUGGGAGGAAGGGCAGUAAAUUAAUACUUUGCUGUUUUGACGUUACCGACAGAAUAAGCACCGGCUAACUCUGUGCCAGCAGCCGCGGUAAUACAGAGGGUGCAAGCGUUAAUCGGAAUUACUGGGCGUAAAGCGCGCGUAGGUGGUUCGUUAAGUUGGAUGUGAAAUCCCCGGGCUCAACCUGGGAACUGCAUUCAAAACUGACAAGCUAGAGUAUGGUAGAGGGUGGUGGAAUUUCCUGUGUAGCGGUGAAAUGCGUA